rnacentral:rRNA from 1 species
GACGAACGCUGGCGGCGUGCUUAACACAUGCAAGUCGAACGGUAAGGCCCUUUCGGGGGUACUCGAGUGGCGAACGGGUGAGUAACACGUGGGUGAUCUGCCCUGCACUUUGGGAUAAGCCUGGGAAACUGGGUCUAAUACCGGAUAGGACUACGCGAUGCAUGUCGUGUGGUGGAAAGCUUUUGCGGUGUGGGAUGGGCCCGCGGCCUAUCAGCUUGUUGGUGGGGUGAUGGCCUACCAAGGCGACGACGGGUAGCUGGCCUGAGAGGGUGUCCGGCCACACUGAGACUGAGAUACGGCCCAGACUCCUACGGGAGGCAGCAGUGGGGAAUAUUGCACAAUGGGCGCAAGCCUGAUGCAGCGACGCCGCGUGGGGGAUGACGGCCUUCGGGUUGUAAACCCCUUUCAGCACAGACGAAGCGUAAGUGACGGUAUGUGCAGAAGAAGCACCGGCCAACUACGUG